rnacentral:tRNA from 1 species
GCGGAUGUAGCCAAGUGGAUCAAGGCAGUGUAUUGUAAAUCCACCACGCGCAGGUUCGAUCCCUGUCGUUCGCC